rnacentral:rRNA from 1 species
UACGAAGGGUGCAAGCGUUACUCGGAAUUACUGGGCGUAAAGCGUGCGUAGGUGGUUUCUUAAGUCUGCUGUGAAAGCCCCGGGCUCAACCUGGGAAUUGCAGUGGAUACUGGGGAGCUAGAGUGCGGUAGAGGGUAGUGGAAUUCCCGGUGUAGCGGUGGAAUGCGCAGAUAUCAGGAGGAACACCGGUGGCGAAGGCGGGUCUCUGGGCCAUAACUGACGCUGAGGAGCGAAAGCAUGGGGAGCGAACAGG